rnacentral:rRNA from 1 species
UAUUGGUCAAUGGGCGCGAGCCUGAACCAGCCAAGUAGCGUGAAGGAUGACGGCCCUAUGGGUUGUAAACUUCUUUUAUAUGGGAAUAAAGUUUGGUAUGUAUACCAUUUUGUAUGUACCAUAUGACUAAGGAUCGGCUAACUCCGUGCCAGCAGCCGCGGUAAUACGGAGGAUCCGAGCGUUAUCCGGAUUUAUUGGGUUUAAAGGGAGCGUAGGCGGGUUGUUAAGUCAGUUGUGAAAGUUUGCGGCUCAACCGUAAAAUUGCAGUUGAUACUGGCAUCCUUGAGUACAGUAGAGGUAGGCGGAAUUCGUGGUGUAGCGGUGAAAUGCUUAGAUAUCACGAAGAACUCCGAUUGCGAAGGCAGCCUGCUGGACUGUAACUGACGCUGAUGCUCGAAAGUGUGGGUAUCAAACAG